CAACUCGCCUGCAUGAAGUCGGAAUUGCUAGUAAUCGCGGAUCAGCAUGCCGCGGUGAAUACGUUCUCGGGCCUUGUACACACCGCCCGUCACACCAUGGGAGUCGGUAACACCCGAAGUCUGUAGCCUGACGCAAGAGGGCGCAGCCGAAGGUGGGAUUGAUGACUGGGGUGAAGUCGUAACAAGGUAGC
rnacentral:rRNA from 1 species